rnacentral:rRNA from 1 species
UAAGGAAUAUUGGUCAAUGGACGCAAGUCUGGACCAGCCAUGCCGCGUGGAGGAUGAAGGUCCUCUGGAUUGUAAACUUCUUUUAUCUGGGACGAAACACUCCUAUUCUUAGGGGCCUGACGGUACCAGAUGAAUAAGCACCGGCUAACUCCGUGCCAGCAGCCGCGGUAAUACGGAGGGUGCAAGCGUUAUCCGGAUUCACUGGGUUUAAAGGGUGCGUAGGUGGGUAUGUAAGUCAGUGGUGAAAUCCCCGAGCUUAACUUGGGAACUGCCGUUGAUACUAUAUAUCUUGAAUGCCGUAGAGGUAAGCGGAACAUGUCGUGUAGCGGUGAAAUGCUUAGAGAUGACAUAGAACACCAAUUGCGAAGGCAGCUUACUAUGCGGUGAUUGACACUGAUGCACGAAAGCGUGGGUAGCAAACA